rnacentral:rRNA from 1 species
AUUGAACGCUGGCGGCAUGCUUUACACAUGCAAGUCGAACGGCAGCGCGGGCUUCGGCCUGGCGGCGAGUGGCGAACGGGUGAGUAAUGCAUCGGAACGUGCCCAGUAGUGGGGGAUAGCCCGGCGAAAGCCGGAUUAAUACCGCAUACGAACUGAGGGUGAAAGCGGGGGACCGAAAGGCCUCGCGCUAUUGGAGCGGCCGAUGUCGGAUUAGCUAGUUGGUGGGGUAAAGGCUUACCAAGGCGACGAUCCGUAGCUGGUCUGAGAGGACGACCAGCCACACUGGGACUGAGACACGGCCCAGACUCCUACGGGAGGCAGCAGUGGGGAAUUUUGGACAAUGGGGGCAACCCUGAUCCAGCCAUGCCGCGUGCGGGAAGAAGGCCUUCGGGUUGUAAACCGCUUUUGUUCGGGAAGAAAUCCUCCGGGCUAAUACCCCGGGGGGAUGACGGUACCGGAAGAAUAAGCACCGGCUAACUACGUG